GGAAUGUUUGUCAGGACCAGUUAGUUCAGGGUUCAGAGAAUUGCAGACCCAAAUGCAGAGAGGGGUAGGCAGU